AGGUACAUAGAUAGCACGUUGAACGCACCAGUUCCCGAAGGAAUACUGUUGCAACGUUCCACGUGGUUGGUAUUUGGAUGGGUGACCAUCUGGACAAUCGCGUGCUGAUGCACUUU
rnacentral:rRNA from 1 species